UGAUAUUAUCAGACUUGUUGCAAGGUUGUUCCAACAAGUCCGAUGUAUAAGUCAUGAUAUAACAAUGUUGUUACAACCUUGCGUCGUCAACCUAGUAACAUUCUUGUUAUAUCAUGACUGUAUCAGACUUGUUAGAACAACCUUGUAACAAGUCUGAUAGUGCCA